GAUAAACGCUGGCGGCGUGCAUGAGACAUGCAAGUCGAACGAAGGAUCGGGCUUGCUCGAUCCUUAGUGGCGGACGGCUGAGUAACGCGUAGGUGACCUACCCCGAAGUGGGGAAUAACUGCCCGAAAGGGUGGCUAAUACCGCAUGUGGUCGCACGUUCACUCGUGCGAGUAAAGCCGCAAGGCGCUUCGGGAGGGGCCUGCGUCCGAUUAGCUCGUUGGUGGGGUAAUGGCUUACCAAGGCGACGAUCGGUAGGUGGUCUGAGAGGACGAUCACCCAGACUGGGACUGAGACACGGCCCAGACUCCUACGGGAGGCAGCAGUCGGGAAUUUUGCACAAUGGGGGAAACCCUGAAGCAGCAACGCCGCGUGAGGGAUGAAGGCCUUCGGGUUGUAAACCUCUUUUGUCAGGGACGAUGAUGACGGUACCUGGCGAAUAAGCCACGGCUAACUACGUG
rnacentral:rRNA from 1 species